AUUGUGUUGGUCUGUACAAGGAAUGCUGUGUGAUUUUAACUGCAACUUCCGUACAUACACUUAACUCUAUUAUACACUUAUCUCUGACAGAAAGUUUACAAGUACACAAGCACUGCACAAGCCAUGAUCAUGAGAAAACCAAUCACCACUCUGUAAAAAUCUAGACUUGCUGUUUAAUCCAUAGAACUUUAGUUUAAAUAAUCAUUUUGUCAGUCAUAAUAAUGUUGCUGGACUUCAUAGUAGCUUAAAGUUUUCUGAGGAUAUGAAUGUGAAGGGUAUGGUACUACAUAUGCAUACAUGUAUACAUGUGCAGUUGUUCCUGUUGGGUUUUAUCAAGGCAACACCAGUAUUGAACACAGACAAGAUACACAAUGGACCUUGCCCAACAAAAAGGAAAAGUAUUGAUGGACUGCUUAAGCCAAACCAUGAAAACUCUCUUAGGUAACAGCUUUGCUAUUUGCUUGGAAACAAGACAAUGAAAUGGAAGAAUGUGCAUGUGCACAAUACCCUGGGUUGAUGCCCAAGCUAGCUAAGAUCCCUCUAUUGUAUGCAUUGUGUUUGUUUUACUGGCAUGCUACCUGAGGCAGUAAGAUGUAAGCUUCUCUACUCUUCUUUGUUAUGUUGAUGAUCAAGACAAAUGUAAGCUGUAGGUGAUGUCAUCAAUUAUGCACAGUGGAUUAUAGAAAAGGACCUGUUGGCGGGAGAAGAGGUCAUAUGGACUAGUGGACACCAAGGCUGAACAUUCUAAUGCAGUGCCACUGCUUUCUUGCUGUGCAGUUCUUGUAUGUUCAAUCCCAUCAUUAGUAUCUACCAACACAGUGCAGAAUGCAGACACUAUAUGUAUGACAACAGAGAAACUCAACUCGGAUGGCAUCACUUUUAGCUUGGCCAUCAUCUUACCUCUUUGAUUCUUUGGUUUUUGUGGAACAGCUCAUGCCUAUUUGAUUCCAUGAGUUGUCCCACAAAGAACACAGAUCAUUGAAAAAACGUCAGGACAAAACAACUGUCUCUUCACCCCAACAAACAAGAUGGUGGCACACGGUAUUCUUCUUUUGGUGUACGCAUCCAGAAAUAAGCAGAGCAAGCAGUCUAUUCUGUGUGAUCAUGGAGGAAGGACACAGAAGGAGUAACAACUCUGACACUUCAAAGUGCUUGAUGAUCAUCACAGCCCGGUCAUAUGAAUAAUACAAAACAUUCCAAAAAUGCCUGAUUGCUGCAUGCAGCUUAGUCGGACUUGUGGGACCAGUGAUGUCCUAGCGAUACUUGUAGGGUUUUGCUUGCAAGUAACUUCAAUGUAUUGCUGUAAGCAGGAAGCAGAGAGAGAAAGAUUCUUCAGACAUUAGGCCUACUUUUUCCAUCAUGAGUAAAGUUUUAUAUCAUAUUGAUACUCUGUUCCAUUAUCCAUGCAAAGUUUGUACAGUCAAACCUCGUUAAUAAGAGAUCCUUCGGACUAGGCAAAUUACCU